rnacentral:rRNA from 1 species
UACGUAGGGUGCGAGCGUUAAUCGGAAUUACUGGGCGUAAAGCGUGCGCAGGCGGCGCCGCAAGUCAGGCGUGAAAUCCCCCGAGCUUAACUUGGGAAUGGCGCUUGAAACUACGGUGCUGGAGUGUGGCAGAGGGAGGUGGAAUUCCACGUGUAGCGGUGAAAUGCGUAGAGAUGAUGGAGGAACACCGAUGGCGAAGGCAGCCUCCUGGGCCAACACUGACGCUCAUGCACGAAAGCGUGGG